rnacentral:rRNA from 1 species
UACGGGGGGGGCAAGCGUUGUUCGGAAUUACUGGGCGUAAAGGGCUCGUAGGCGGCCAACUAAGUCAUACGUGAAAUCCCUCAGCUUAACUGGGGAACUGCGUGUGAUACUGGAUGGCUUGGAUUUGGGAGAGGGAUGCGGAAUUCCAGGUGUAGCGGUGAAAUGCGCAGAUAUCAGGAGGAACACCGAUGGCGAAGGCAGGUCUCUGGGCCACUACUGACGCUGAGAAGCGAAAGCAUGGGGAGCGAACAGG